AAAUUUUAGUUUACUUUCAUUUGGAGAGGAAGCUGAGGAAGAAGAGGAGGAAGUAAAUCGAGUUAGUCAGAGCAUGAAGGGCAAAAGCAAAAGUAGUCAUGACUUGCUUAAGGAUGAUCCACAUCUCAGUUCUGUUCCAGUUGUAGAAAGUGAAAAAGGUGAUGCACCAGAUUUAGUUGAUGAUGGAGAAGAUGAAAGUGCAGAGCAUGAUGAAUAUAUUGAUGGUGAUGAAAAGAACCUGAUGAGAGAAAGAAUUGCCAAAAAAUUAAAAAAGGACACAAGUGCGAAUGUUAAAUCAGCUGGAGAAGGAGAAGUGGAGAAGAAAUCAGUCAGCCGCAG
rnacentral:circRNA from 1 species